GACGUGACUUCUAGAGUUUGAUCCUGGCUCAGGAUGAACGCUGGCGGCGUGCUUAACACAUGCAAGUCGAACGGACUUUUGAUGAAGCCUAGCGAUUCAAAAGUUAGUGGCGGACGGGUGAGUAACGCGUGGGUAACCUGCCUUAUACAGGGGGAUAACACUUAGAAAUAGGUGCUAAUACCGCAUAAGCGCACAGUAUCGCAUGAUACAGUGUGAAAAACUCCGGUGGUAUAAGAUGGACCCGCGUCUGAUUAGCUAGUUGGUGAGGUAACGGCUCACCAAGGCGACGAUCAGUAGCCGGCCUGAGAGGGUGAACGGCCACAUUGGGACUGAGACACGGCCCAA
rnacentral:rRNA from 1 species